rnacentral:rRNA from 1 species
UACGUAGGUGGCAAGCGUUGUCCGGAUUUACUGGGUGUAAAGGGAGCGCAGGCGGCGUGGCAAGUCAGAUGUGAAAACCCGGGGCCCAACCCCGGGAGUGCAUUUGAAACUGCCAUGCUGGAGUGCCGGAGAGGUAAGCGGAAUUCCUUGUGUAGCGGUGAAAUGCGUAGAUAUAAGGAAGAACACCAGUGGCGAAGGCGGAUUACUGGACGAUAACUGACGCUGAGGCUCGAAAGCGUGGGGAGCAAACAGG